rnacentral:snRNA from 1 species
CUGCUCGCUUUGGCAGCACAUAUACCAAAGUUGGAACAAUACAGAGAAGAUUAGCAUGGCUCCUGCAGAAGGAUGACACACAAAUUUAUGAAGCGUUCUAUAUUUUU